rnacentral:rRNA from 1 species
ACGGGUGAGUAACACGUGGGCAACCUGCCCUUGAGACUGGGAUAACUUCGGGAAACCGGAGCUAAUACCGGAUAAUAUAAGGAACCUCCUGGUUCCUUGUUGAAAGAUGGUUUCGGCUAUCACUUAAGGAUGGGCCCGCGGCGCAUUAGCUAGUUGGUGAGGUAACGGCUCACCAAGGCGACGAUGCGUAGCCGACCUGAGAGGGUGAUCGGCCACACUGGGACUGAGACGCGGCCCAGACUCCUACGGGAGGCAGCAGUAGGGAAUCUUCCACAAUGGACGAAAGUCUGAUGGAGCAACGCCGCGUGAGUGAUGAAGGCCUUCGGGUCGUAAAGCUCUGUUGUUAGGGAAGAACAAGUGCGAGAGUAACUGCUCGCACCUUGACGGUACCUAACCAGAAAGCCACGGCUAACUACGUGCCAGCAGCCGCGGUAAUACGUAGGUGGCAAGCGUUAUCCGGAAUUAUUGGGCGUAAAGCGCGCGCAGGUGGUUUCUUAAGUCUGAUGUGAAAGCCCACGGCUCAACCGUGGAGGGUCAUUGGAAACUGGGGAACAUGAGUGCAGAAGAGGAAAGUGGAAUUC